GAGUAAUGACAGAAUUACCCUAACCAUGUCAUAUGAGGAGUAAUGACAGAAUUACCCUAACCAUGUCAUAUGAGGAGUAAUGACAGAAGACACUACUAGACCUAGAACCUUCCAAACGUCUUUAAUGAGUGGAGCUAUUGGAAGAGUAGUAGGGAUCAAAUGUAACAUCUAAAAAAACAACUCAAUUCCUAAACGUUAUUGUUAUUUUCAGUUAUAUUGUGGUAAACCUGUAAUCACUUCGCAAGAAAUAAAAGUGUUAAAAUCGCGUGUUUUCAUCACACGGCUGCUUCGCUGGUGUCAUUUUAACAUUGUGUUCGUGCAGCGGUGUUAACAUACCGUAAGGUCACCGCAGCUAGCUUGAACUGCCGCCGAUGAGGUUCUACAAAUGGUUCAAAUGUUGUCGAGGAGGGUGGUCGUGUGUUGCGAAGCGAAGGAUGAGAGUUUGCGUCCAGAGUGGCGCUCGGCGAACUGCCAGGGGACGAAUCGAUACUGUUAGCAGCAGCAUGUUGGGCAUCGCAGUAUGGGGUAAGGCGAACUGCCAGGGAGGAAGCUAUACUGUUACGGUGCACGUCCGUUGAUCCGGCGCCGCCCGUUUGAGUGGUUUCGGCGCGUCAAGAAGUUGGGCCACGGUCAAUAUUAUGCAAAUGAAUCCGGUUAACGCCAGGCUCCAAUGGAUGUAGAGUCUUUCAUAAACAAGAUAGUCUUCCUUGCUGGUCCGUUGUACUGCAACGGUACAUGUGGAAUAGUUUUGCUCCAUGUGAGAAGUUCAGCUACCAACAGGAGGAAAAGCUAAUUAUAGCGGGGAACAAGCGCAAUAUUGCUUAGAGGAUGGUGGAGAUUUUUGGUGACUCAGGUCAGUUUUAUAAGUUAGCUGUGUUGCUAAAUGUGAUGAUAAUUUAGCAUUGAGUUGUUUGUUUUAUAUGGCAGCACCACAUAAAUACGGUGCCUGCUAGCAUAGUGCUCAUUAUAACGGGUGUUUUUCUUUUUCACCCCCCCCCCCCCCUUUUUUUUGGGGGGGGGGGGGUUGGUUUCAUGUAAAUUAAAGUUGACGAAAGGAUGUCAACACAGCCCUCCCCCGCCGAAAACAAACCCUCACAGCGGAUACGUCCAGUAAGCAGCCAUCUGGGGCAAGGCAGCGCGUUUGCAGGCGAAAUCGCGCCGGGACAGUGGACUUGCACCAUUACACACAACAAACCUCAUUUGCAUAAUAUUGACUGUGGUCCAACUUCUUGACACACCGGAACACCUCAAGCGGGCGCGCCUGACCAGUGGACAUACAGGAUGUUGGGCGUCGGGUUCAUUACCCUGGCUGCCAUGACAACAUCUUCUGACUAGCCAGUGACAACUAUAGUGACGUAAAUCCUAUCACUGUUUAACCAAGGAAAGACAUAUAGUACUCUGAAUUCUUGAACUUGAAUGAUGAAGGACUGUGUACUAUGCAUUUGUCCAUAAAACAUGCAGUUUCAACUUCCAAGUGUUACAAUGGCUCUGCUCUCCUCUACAGGCUCACAACCCCAUGUGUGUUUUGUUUUCCUGAAUCAGAUCCAGGCUCAUUCAGUGUUUCAGCAUCAUCCCAAUGAAGGCAUAUUGUGUUUAUUAUGUACAUAUAUAUGAGAGCAAACCCCCAAUGAAUGCAACCAACUGUUACUGGGAGACAUUUUUUAGAGAGUAUGUAUGCAUCUUCCUGUAUAAUAUAUGCAUUUUCUGUAUAUAUGUAUCAAUGACAACCCUGGUCCAGAGCUCAGCAAUAUUACACCUGCUGUAUGUGGCCUUAGAUCUACAGGUUAGUCUUCAACUUAAGUCAGUCCCUCCAGGAUUAACUACGGACUAAUCUGGAAACAGGACACUCAUGAAUUACUAACUCAACCUCCCCCCAUUAAAGCCAGUCCACUGCAGGACUGUUCCUUUACACUACUGCUUGUCCAGUGAACCUCAUCCGAUACACUGCCACUACUCAAUCACCUGGCCAACAGGACCUCAUGUUGGUAGAGGAUUCUAAUGGGAAACCUUUCCCCAGAAUAGACAUUGACUACAGUAGAGCCUCUCCAACACAACCUCUAACUGGCCACAUUCCAUUUCUGUCCUGAGCUGUUUUCUCUCAGGUGUUAAGAAAUCAACGCUAAAGCAGUAGGAGCUGGAGGAAGAAGCAAGGACAGAAAAGGAAUUGGACUGGAUCUUCUGACUGUACAACUGUUCUGCUGUGGUUGUCUCCAAUAGCAGCCUGCACUCUUUAAGCCUUGAAUCAGACUUCAGAUAAGUACAUAGAACAUAUGAUAUUAUGAAUAAGAUGGACUUAAAGGGGAACAAACAUCACAUGAUUAUCAAUCUGAAAUCUCUUUCCACCUCUAACCCUUGAAUAGCCCAGCCUGCAAACUGAUCAUUUGUUUAGGAGAAACUAUGUUUUCUGACCUAAUAGAAGAUUGAGCAGGACAUCACCCCUUCUCCCUAAAUGACCUGCUGCACAUCUGAACCUCCUAGAGAUUCUGAUUGGUGGUGAUGUCUGAUGCAGUGUGAGGUCACUUUAAGAACAGUGUUUUGAUUGGUGGUGAUGUCUGAUGCAGUGUGAGGUCACUUUAAGAACAGUGUUUUGAUUGAUGGUGAUGUCUGAUGCAGUGUGAGGUCACUUUAAGAACAGUGUUUUGAUUGGUGGUGAUGUCUGACACAGGUCACUUUUGUGUUAAUGUUGCAGGUUCAAUAAUCAAAUAGGGUGAUAAUGAGGCUGUGGUUCACCUUUAAGUCUAUAAAACAUUUAGUUGGAUUUUGUUUUACUGAACUCUGAACUCAUCUCAAGUCUUUGGUGCACAGAGAACAGGGAGCGAUUGUGGACCCACACGGCUGAUCUGUGACGAGCUCUGUUUUGUGCCUCUUCCAGG
ensembl:lncRNA